rnacentral:rRNA from 1 species
AACGAACGCUGGCGGCAUGCCUAACACAUGCAAGUCGAACGGGAUCCUAGCUUGCUAGGUGAGAGUGGCGGACGGGUGAGUAACACGUGGGAAUCUGCCUUUUGGUUCGGGAUAACCGCGGGAAACUGCGGCUAAUACCGAAUGCCCUCGAGAGAGGAAAGAUUUAUCGCCAGAAGAGGAGCCCGCGUCCGAUUAGGUAGUUGGUGGGGUAAAGGCCUACCAAGCCGACGAUCGGUAGCUGGUCUGAGAGGGUGAUCAGCCACACUGGGACUGAGAUACGGCCCAGACUCCUACGGGAGGCAGCAGUGGGGAAUAUUGGACAAUGGGGGCAACCCUGAUCCAGCAAUGCCGCGUGAGUGAUGAAGGCCUUAGGGUUGUAAAGCUCUUUUGCCAGGGAAGAUGAUGACUGUACCUGGAGAAUAAGCCCCGGCUAACUUCGUGCCAGCAGCCGCGGUAAU